GGGAGACGCGUGCACUCACGGUGGUUCUCUCCAGACAGUGCAGCAGGUGGUGGUGUUGGCUCUCUAACAAAGACGCGGACUUCACCAGCUUCUGCUCGUCCUCCUCCGUGCCCUGGGUGGAGGCAGGCAUGUGGAAGGCGUUGGCGCUGCCGGACUUGGCGACUCUUAUCCGGGCCAGUCUGGCUUUCUGGUGGGCGGGAGGAAGAAGAGGUCACAGCGUCAGACAAGUGUUGCCCGUGGGGGAAACCAGCGAACUCACACUAAUGAGGAUCCAAACCAAGAAAGAAAAACGUUUCAGGAACUCGCAGGACCCCUCGGUCUAAAACCUUGGAAACGGAUCCUUUCACUGCGGGGAAAUGGUGCAGAUUCCACCCAAACCACAAAUGAACACACCAACACCACACGCCAUCCAAACACAUCAGCGCGUGCCUGUCGCUAGUAGAUGCUAACUGCAUUAGUGCUAAUUCUGCUGUGAACUGAGCUGAGUAUAAACACUUUCUACCUUUAAGCUUUGUUGCAAACACUGGUACGUUGAAAUGAACCUUAAAAAUUGAUACAGAACAGAAAACAGAGGCGUGCAGGAAAUGAGAGGAACUGCAGAGGCUCCUUUCUGCCUCCGUUCUCCCGGCGUGUGAAUUUCAGAAACAGGAGACAGACAGAGCAAUAUCUGCAUCCAGACGUGGAUCAAGCCUAAUGGAAUUAGUCCGAAUGCUUCAGAACGAUACCUGGAGGUGUGGGCGACGCUGGGAGGGAGCUGUAAUAAUAAUGAGCGUGUGUCACAUACAGUAUGAAGUGAAGUGUGAGUUUGAAGGGUAAAAAACAAAAAAAACGAGCUGUUGUCGUCUUCCUUCUCCACAGCUUCGGUGACAGAGCGAAUGGGUUUGGUGGUAAAACGCUUCUUAUUGAUCAAAAGCCUCAAUUUGACACAAGGAAGUGGGAAAAUGAAAGACUAAGCAGCUCUGAUCCGUCUGUGAGCGUGAGACAGACACAGCUGAUGCUCCGCUCUCCACUUUUUGAUGCUCUACUGAGUCCGAUGGAUUGUCUGGACUCGAAUCUGAUGAGAAUCCAGUCUUUUCAGAGUCCAGCGGCACCGAUCAAGUUCCAAAUCAGACAAAGCAUUGAUGGGUUUUAAAUGAAGCUGGUUGAUAAGGCCAUCACACAAUGAUCCAUGUCACGCGUGGUGACUGGUUAUUACUGUUCUACUUUUAGCUUAAAGGGACAUUUUCCCAUAAAGGUGCAGGAAACCAGGAUUAAAUAAAUAAACAUCACCAGACUUACAGUAUCUAAGGCGAUGAAGAGAGCUGGUGAGAGGCUCGGCUCCAGAGCUGAUCGUCACUGGCAACGUGACAAAUGUCAGCAGGGUUUGAAUGAACUGGACUUACUUCUGGAUGGGAGCCUGCUUUCACGUUUGGCUCUAAACACUCGGGCGGUUUGUUGGAUUUGGCCUGAGUGCCGUUUGUUGACUCGUGUCUUCUCCUGAUGCGUAAUCACUGUCAUUCACGCUGUCAAAUACUGCUCUCAGAGCUACAGUUUAUCUUAUUAGCUCAAUGGAUCACACCUUGAUUCUGGCAGUAAUACAAGUAAAAAUGCAUUGAUUGACAUUUGUAUUCAUUAUCAGUUUUGCGAUUAGUUAAAACAUUUCUGAAGUGAGUUUUGGAGAAAGUGCAACACGUAGAAUCAGAUCAGCACAAUGAUCUGCUUUUAAACUUUCAUUUAUUUUAAGUGAUGUGUGAUGUUGUGAAUGAAUGCUGACACCACAGCACAGGCAGAACAGCAGAUACUGGAUCAUAUGUUAAAACCUUUCCAGCCUUGGAGUUACGGAACUAAUUUGUCGAAGUAAAAGCCUCCUAAAUACUGUAAUGUCUUUGAGCCUAAUUACUAAACGUGAGGCCUGUUCUCCGACGGCGCUAAAGGGCAUCAUCUGCCUCGGCUGAAAGCCUGAUGAUGAGGAUGACGAUGAUGAUGGAUGCUCAUUCUCGUCCGCCCGCCUCCACCUGUCGCCUGGACUGAGCAAAUCGAACCGAUGCACCUGAACAUUACCACC